rnacentral:rRNA from 1 species
UUGAAAGGGAAACGAUUGAAGUCAGUCGUACCAGCGGGAAAUCAACCUUUCGAGUGGGGGUUUUGGAGUUUUGAAGAGUGUCAAAACCUUUGAGAUUUCAAAAUUUUCGCUCUUUUGGUGUACUUUCUCGUGGGUAGGUUAACAUCGAUUUUGAUCAUCAUAAAAAGAUUGGAGGAAUGUAGCUUCGAUCUUGUAUUGAAGUGUUAUAGCCUUUGGUAAAUGUGAUGAUUAGGAUCGAGGAUUGCAACGAAUACCCUUUUGGGCUAUCCGCCUGAUCUCUGAUACGUGGCCUUGGUAUCGAAAGCGUGCUUAUGGUAUCAAGGUAUUACGGUCAAAAGGUUAGAACGGAUUACAUUCGUUAAGGAUGUUGACGUA